AUUUUGGAGAGUUUGAUCCUGGCUCAGGACGAACGCUGGCGGCGUGCCUAAUACAUGCAAGUCGAGCGAAGUUUAAGAGAUGCUUGCAUCACUUGAACUUAGCGGCGAACGGGUGAGUAACACGUAAAGAACCUGCCUCAUAGACUGGGACAACUACUGGAAACGGUAGCUAAUACCGGAUAAUAUAUUUCUUUGCAUGAAGGAAUAUUGAAAGUCGGUCAAGCUGACACUAUGAGAUGGCUUUGCGGUGCAUUAGCUAGUUGGUAGGGUAAAGGCCUACCAAGGCGACGAUGCAUAGCCGACCUGAGAGGGUGAUCGGCCACACUGGGACUGAGACACGGCCCAGACUCCUACGGGAGGCAGCAGUAGGGAAUCUUCCGCAAUGGACGAAAGUCUGACGGAGCAACGCCGCGUGAGUGAAGAAGGAUUUCGGUUUGUAAAACUCUGUUGUUAGGGAAGAAUGAUUGUAUAGUAACUAUAUACAGUAAAGACGGUACCUAACCAGAAAGCCACGGCUAACUACGUGCCAGCAGCCGCGGUAAUACGUAGGUGGCAAGCGUUGUCCGGAAUUAUUGGGCGUAAAGCGCGCGCAGGUGGUUUAAUAAGUCUGAUGUGA
rnacentral:rRNA from 2 species